rnacentral:lncRNA from 1 species
UGUAUUUGUCUCUCUGCAGAUACCACUCCUCCAAAGGAGCGAUCAAAGACACUUCAAAGGAUUUCUAUUCAGCUGGCUUUGCUCCUGGAGCUAUAGUUUACUUUUGUUAUGACCUGCCAAAAGGUUUACUCUUUUUUACUUAAAUGGUGAAUCAAUUAUCAACAGUCCAUUAUGUUUUAGUGCAACCAAUUUUGUCAAACUUUGUUGCAUAAGUGGUUUACUGUUUACAUAUAUGAGACUAGGCUUUGGGUGUAGCAGGUGUAGCUGGGUGGCCUCAGACUGGUCUGUGAGCCCCUGAAACCCUGCCACAGUUUGGAAAGCUGCUUGGCUUAUAGCCUUGCACUAUGAUGUACUUGUGAUAAUGUGUAGUGUAUUAUUCAAGGAACUUUGGUCAUAUUAGAAUAGUAUGUGGUUUGUGUGUGCAAAUAAGCUCCUUUUCUUCAUAUGUUAUAUUCAAUGUCUUGUUUUAUAGUCAAAAAAUAUAGGUUCAAGUUAGUCAAAUCUUCUAUAAGUAUAUCCUUGUAAAGAAUAAACUUGCUUUCUCUCUUUCAAUAAUCGGAAACUCUUAUUGUUUCAAGCAUUUAACUCUAGUAGCUAUUUGCAUUACCUACCUCUAUGUUUGUCACUUUAUUCUGAAAUUCCAAGAUAAAAGGGCGGCCUAGUGCACAAGGCUCUGGCCAUUGUGGGGUCUGGAGAGGGUCAAAUUUAUGCAGCCUUACCCCUGCAUAUAGAGAGGCUAUUUCUGUGUUUCAAACUCGGGACUUCCAGGUUACAAUGGAGCAACCUUACCAUUACACCAAUAGGGCUUACCCUUAUUCCCGAAUUCCUAAGAUAGCAUCAAAAUCUGAUAAUCAUGCAAAUUUUGUAGGUGAUUUUAAUUACCCAUAUGAUCACACUUACCCAUGUAAUAUAUGUGUAGUUUCUUUGUCUUAGGCUUAACAUUUAACUAUAGAAAGUCCAAACCAGAUGAUGAUAGCAUUCGUUAAUUCCUUAAAAUCUGAUAAUCGUACAAAUUUGUAGGUGAUUGUAAUUACCAGUUUGAUCACACUUACCCAUGUAAGAUAUAUUUAGCUUCUUUGUCCGAAAUAGGCUAUUUAACAUUUAACUAUAAAAAGUCCAAACUAGAUGAUGUUUUGGGUUGUUGACUUGGCACCAUGCUUCUUGUUCUACUAGCUUAUCUGAUUAUAAUUAUAAAAAGCUUCAUGUUGUUGCUGUUACUCUUAAUUUUAUUACCUCCAACUAAGAUAAAAAGAUCAAUAAAUUUGACCUAUUAUUACACUUCGUAGAGCAUUUCUUUUAACUAGAUAUUCACAUUUUUAAGUAAUACCAGUUUUAAUGGUAAUUAUGAAGUUAAGACAGGAUCUUGCUGCCUUUUUAUAAUUUAUUUCAUAUAGUACUUCCCAUGAAUCUUAUGCAUAGUCAUCAAAUGUUCAUCAAAUAAUUUG